UCCAUCACCACCACAUUCUCGCAAAGCAAAGCACAUACACAUUGUCACGUACACGUCCAAAGCAACGGAGGAAGGAAGGCGUAGGCCCAACCCAACUCCAUCAAGUCCUAGGGAUUAAAAGCUUGUUUCCCACGUGCUUUAAAAAAUUGCUCCAUGCGGUCAGGUAACCUUGCUCUCUUUAAUAAGGAUAUACUAGUAGCGUCUGGAGGCUAGCUACCAAUGUAGCCUUUUUCAUUUCGCCGAAGGCAAAGAGCUUUGAGUCAACCGGCAUCGAGACAUUUCAUGUGACUACACCUUGAUGGCGUUUGUUCAAAGAAAGGAAAUAUUAGACCGUGUGUGCUGAUAUUAGGGAUUUGAUGACAUCACUCUCUUUGUUCAGUUGUUAUUAUUAUCAUCAUCCUUUAAGUUUUUGGUGGGACAAUGAGUUAUUGUGGGAUGACAUUUGGUGGGCUUUCUAAAUAAGGGAUG
rnacentral:lncRNA from 1 species